GGCAAACUUAAGGUGGGAGGAGUAGG
rnacentral:piRNA from 1 species